rnacentral:siRNA from 1 species
ACCGAAACCAACUGUUGUACGG